AGAAAAUUGUUUUGUGCUAUUCGCGCGAACAAUACGAUGGCACAGUGAUUAUUUCUCAGUGCUUGUGGCAACACAUUUAGUGCCUUUUUUUCAAUUUAUUAAAAUACACAAUAAGGUCCAAGUGGAAAAUGCCCGCGCAUUGCAGCGACAGGUAUCCGCGGAGUUGAGGGCUUUUAGAUAUUUCAACAUUCACUAUCAAGAGUAUUUGCACGGACAGCCACCGGGUCGAGGUAUCUACGCUCUGGCAUACACACAAAUCAAAAUAAGAUUGAAGUUGAAGAAGAUGUUAGUGCAAGCUAUCUGAUUGUGCCGCAAAGUAAUCAUCACAAUUAAUUGUUUUAAAUAAAAUGUCAGUCUGUGAAUUGAAAUUUAAUGAAAUUUAGUUGUAAAUAAAAAAAUAAUAUAAAUAUGUGA